rnacentral:misc_RNA from 1 species
UACGUAGGUGGCGAGCGUUGUCCGGAAUUAUUGGGCGUAAAGGGAGCGCAGGUGGGAAAGUAAGUCAGUCUUAAAAGUUCGGGGCUCAACCCCGUGAUGGGAUUGAAACUACUUUUCUUGAGUGCAGGAGAGGAAAGCGGAAUUCCUAGUGUAGUGGUGAAAUGCGUAGAUAUUAGGAGGAACACCAGUGGCGAAGGCGGCUUUCUGGACUGUAACUGACACUGAGGCUCGAAAGCGUGGGGAGCGAACAGG